AGAGUUUGAUCCUGGCUCAGGAUGAACGCUAGCGGCAGGCUUAACACAUGCAAGUCGAGGGGCAGCAUAAUGGAUAGCAAUAUCUAUGGUGGCGACCGGCGCACGGGUGCGUAACGCGUAUGCAACCUACCUUUAACAGGGGGAUAACACUGAGAAAUUGGUACUAAUACCCCAUAAUAUCAUAGAAGGCAUCUUUUAUGGUUGAAAAUUCCGAUGGUUAGAGAUGGGCAUGCGUUGUAUUAGCUAGUUGGUGGGGUAACGGCUCACCAAGGCGACGAUACAUAGGGGGACUGAGAGGUUAACCCCCCACACUGGUACUGAGACACGGACCAGACUCCUACGGGAGGCAGCAGUGAGGAAUAUUGGUCAAUGGACGCAAGUCUGAACCAGCCAUGCCGCGUGCAGGAUGACGGCUCUAUGAGUUGUAAACUGCUUUUGUACGAGGGUAAACGCAGAUACGUGUAUCUGUCUGAAAGUAUCGUACGAAUAAGGAUCGGCUAACUCCGUGCCAGCAGCCGCGGUAAUACGGAGGAUUCAAGCGUUAUCCGGAUUUAUUGGGUUUAAAGGGUGCGUAGGCGGUUUGAUAAGUUAGAGGUGAAAUGUUAGGGCUCAACCCUGAAACUGCCUCUAAUACUGUUGGACUAGAGAGUAGUUGCGGUAGGCGGAAUGUAUGGUGUAGCGGUGAAAUGCUUAGAGAUCAUACAGAACACCGAUUGCGAAGGCAGCUUACCAAACUAUAUCUGACGUUGAGGCACGAAAGCGUGGGGAGCAAACAGGAUUAGAUACCCUGGUAGUCCACGCAGUAAACGAUGAUAACUCGUUGUCGGCGAUACACAGUCGGUGACUAAGCGAAAGCGAUAAGUUAUCCACCUGGGGAGUACGUUCGCAAGAAUGAAACUCAAAGGAAUUGACGGGGGCCCGCACAAGCGGAGGAACAUGUG
rnacentral:rRNA from 1 species